UGCUUGCUGCCUGCCUAUUUAGGCAGCUGGUGCAUGUGUGUCUAAUUGCCAGUCAUGAUCUGACCUUCUUGAGGAAAGACUCUUGUCUCUGGCUCCUGAACCUUUGCUUCUUGGACAGCUGACCCAUCUCGAUUAUCUGGAACCCUUGACCCUUGGACUGCCUUAUUGAUCUAUCUGAUGCCCUGGACUUCGGACUUCUUGACAACUCUUUUGUGAGUCUCAAAGAUGCUGCAAGAUCUCUCUGCAUACUGAUUCUGCAGACUAACAUGGCUAUAUCUUUGAAUUCAACAAUAGCAAAACCACUGCAAAAUCCAAGUCUUCUCCUAGCCGUCGAUUCCCGCGUUUGACUUGUCUCAGAUUCCUGUAUU